CACUACAAUUUUCCUAAUUAGAAUAGUGCCAAGAGGGCCUUUUGGGCCUAACACCCAUAAAAUGCAAAGUCGAUUUGCAAUAAUUCAUCUAUAUUCAUUCAUUUGAUGACAUUAUUAAUACAAGCCUCCGUAGAUAUUGAAGGAAAUUUUUAUUACAUUAUAAUUGAAAUCAUUCCAUGAUUUAUUUGGAGAUAGAGUAAAACUGCAUAGCCCUAGGUAAUAAUAGGAACUCGAACGACCACACCACAUUCAUUAACCCAAACCCAGACCCUGUCGCACCUAAAGUCCCUAGGGCCGUAACACUAUUGACGACCUACAACUGCGACAACAAUAAUGGUAAAUACAAUAAAUAUGGUAUAUAUGAUGUAUAUAUAUACUGUGUUAAUAAAUACGGUAUAUAUAUACACACAUACACAUUGUUUCGGUAAAUACUGUAAAAUCGAUAUAUAUAUAUAUACACACACACGCCUAUUAAACCAAGUAAAUACAAUGUAUAUAUAUACUGUAUCAGUAAAUACUGUAAAAUCAAUUAAAUACAGAAUAAAUGUAUGUACAUCAAUUAACACAUUGGAUCAAACCAAGUAAAUACUGUAUAUCAAAUCAAAUAAAUACAUCGUAUACAUAUAUACUGUAUCGUAACAAUCCAAAAGAAUCGAGAGUCAUACCUUAUCUCUGUAGUAGUUACUGAUUGUAUACAAAAUUGAUAGAGAUAUUCUCAAUAAUAAACAACAGAUCAAAAACAGAAAUCAGCAUAACUUAUGAGUAAAAAACGAUACCAUGGAACAACACCAAUAAUGAGAAGAACUAUAGCAAAAGGAGAAAGAACGAUAAGAAAAUAAUGGACGGCAACAAAAGGAGAAAGAAUCAUUAGAAAAUAAUAAGGGAUGAAAAAAAGGCAAAAGAAAAAUAUUAUUAAUAUACUAAAAAAAAGGAAACAACGGUGAAGAUAGGAAAUUAAUACGGAAGGAAACACUAACAUAUUAAAACACUAAAAUAGGAAAUUAAUAUAAAAGAAAACUCUAAUAUAUUAAAACACUGAAAUACUAAUAAAUGAAUGCCCUAACAAUAAAAAAAAGGCACAAUAGUAAACGUAUAUAUCAAAUGAGAAUAAUUUAAAUCUUAAAAUUCAACUAACAUUCUGUAAAAAUAAAUUUCAAAAAGCGACAUUCACUACAAUUUUCCUAAUUAGAAUAGUGCCAAGAGGGCCUUUUGGGCCUAACACCCAUAAAAUGCAAAGUCGAUUUGCAAUAAUUCAUCUAUAUUCAUUCAUUUGAUGACAUUAUUAAUACAAGCCUCCGUAGAUAUUGAAGGAAAUUUUUAUUACAUUAUAAUUGAAAUCAUUCCAUGAUUUAUUUGGAGAUAGAGUAAAACUGCAUAGCCCUAGGUAAUAAUAGGAACUCGAACGACCACACCACAUUCAUUAACCCAAACCCAGACCCUGUCGCACCUAAAGUCCCUAGUCACUGGAGUUCCUUCCUUCAACACAAUUGCAUUCACAUGUUUGUUCUCUUUCUCUAUGAGAGCUGCAGCAGCUUUUCCAUUCGCCCCAAGAAGCUCCGGCCAUGAGCUCUUACCUGUAA
rnacentral:lncRNA from 1 species